GGUUGAUCCUGCCAGAGGUACUGCUAUCGGGGUUCGAUUUAGCCAUGCGACGUUAAAUSUUCUUCGUGAACAUAGCGAACUGCUCAGUAACACGUGGAUAACCUACCCUUAGGACCGGAAUAACCCCGGGAAACUGGGGAUAAUACCGGAUAAGCCAUAGACGCUGGAAUGCCCUAUGGUUCAAAGCUCCGGCGCCUAAGGAUGGAUCCGCGGUCUAUCAGGUUGCAGUGGGUGUAACGUACCUACUAGCCGACGACGGAUACGGGUUGUGAGAGCAAGAGCCCGGAGAUGGAUUCUGAGACACGAAUCCAGGCCCUACGGGGUGCAGCAGGCGCGAACACUUUACAAUGCGGGAAACCGCGAUAAGGGAACCCCCGAGUGCCAGCAUCAAAUGUUGGCUGUCCAGAUGGUUAAAAAUCAUUUGUUAGCAAGGGCCGGGCAAGACCGGUGCCAGCCGCCGCGGUAACACCGGCGGCCCGAGUGGUAGCCGUUUUUAUUGGGUCUAAAGGGUCCGUAGCCGGCCUGAUAAGUCCUUUGGGAAAUCUGACAGCUUAACUGUCAGGCUUCUAAGGGAUACUGUCAGGCUUGGGACCGGAAGAGGUAAGGGGUACUCCAGGGGUAGGAGUGAAAUCUUGUAAUCCCUGGGGGGACCAUCUGUGGCGAAGGCGCCUUACCAGAACGGGUCCGACGGUGAGGGACGAAAGCUAGGGGAGCAAACCGGAUUAGAUACCCGGGUAGUCCUAGCUGUAAACGAUGCUCGCUAGGUGUCAGACACGGUGCGACCGUGUUUGGUGCCGCAGGGAAGCCGUUAAGCGAGCCACCUGGGAAGUACGGUCGCAAGGCUGAAACUUAAAGGAAUUGGCGGGGGAGCACUACAACGGGUGGAGCCUGCGGUUUAAUUGGAUUCAACGCCGGAAAACUCACCGGGUGCGACAGCAACAUGUAGGUCAGGCUGAAGGUCUUACCUGAAUCGCUGAGAGGAGGUGCAUGGCCGUCGUCAGUUCGUACUGUGAAGCAUCCUGUUAAGUCAGGCAACGAGCGAGACCCGCGCCCACAGUUGCCAGCAUGUUCUCCGGAACGAUGGGUACACUGUGGGGACCGCCGCUGCUAAAGCGGAGGAAGGAACGGGCUACGGUAGGUCAGUAUGCCCCGAAUCUCCCGGGCUACACGCGGGCUACAAUGGUUGGGACAAUGGGCACCUACCCUGAAAAGGGACGGUAAUCUCCGAAACCCAACCGUAGUUCGGAUUGAGGGCCGUAACUCGCCCUCAUGAAGCUGGAAUCCGUAGUAAUCGCGUUUCAACAUAGCGCGGUGAAUACGGCCCUGCGSSUUGCACACACCGCCCUGUCAAACCAUGCGAGUGAGGCUGGUGAGGCGUGUUUAUGACACGUUCGARCCUGGSUCGCAAGUGGGUUAAGGCGUAACAAG
rnacentral:rRNA from 1 species